rnacentral:rRNA from 1 species
CCUACGGGUGGCAGCAGUGGGGAAUAUUGCACAAUGGGGGAAACCCUGAUGCAGCGACGCCGCGUGAGUGAAGAAGUAUUUCGGUAUGUAAAGCUCUAUCAGCAGGGAAGAAAAUGACGGUACCUGAUUAAGAAGCCCCGGCUAACUACGUGCCAGCAGCCGCGGUAAUACGUGGGGGGCAAGCGUUAUCCGGAUUUACUUGGGGGAAAGGGAGCGUAGACGGCAGCACAAGUCUGGAGUGAAAUGGCGGGGCUUAACCCAGGAACUGCUUUGGAAACUGUGCAGCUAGUGUGCAGGAGAGGUAAGUGGAAUUCCUAGUGUAGCGGUGAAAUGCGUAGAUAUUAGGAGGAACACCAGUGGCGAAGGCGGCUUACUGGACUGUAACUGACGUUGAGGCUCGAAAGCGUGGGGAGCAAACAGGAGUAGAUACCCGUGUAGUC